GACGAACGCUGGCGGCGUGCUUAACACAUGCAAGUCGAACGAUGAAGCCGGAGCUUGCUCUGGUGAAUUAGUGGCGAACGGGUGAGUAACACGCGAGUAACCUGCCCUUGACUCUGGGAUAACUGCGGGAAACUGUAGCUAAUACCGGAUACGACCCUCGGAGGCAUCUCCUGGGGGUGGAAAGAAUUUCGGUCAAGGAUGGACUCGCGGCCUAUCAGCUAGUUGGUGAGGUAAAGGCCCACCAAGGCGACGACGGGUAGCCGGCCUGAGAGGGUGACCGGCCACACUGGGACUGAGACACGGCCCAGACUCCUACGGGAGGCAGCAGUGGGGAAUAUUGCACAAUGGGCGCAAGCCUGAUGCAGCAACGCCGCGUGAGGGAUGACGGCCUUCGGGUUGUAAACCUCUUUUAGCAGGGAAGAAGCGAAAGUGACGGUACCUGCAGAAAAAGCACCGGCUAACUACGUGCCAGCCGCCGCAGUAA
rnacentral:rRNA from 1 species